CGAACGCUGGCGGCGUGCUUAACCCAUGCAAGUGCGACGGGAAGGCCCUUCGGGGUACUCGAGUGGCGAACGGGUGAGUAACACGUGGGUGAUCUGCCCUGCACUUUGGGAUAAGCCUGGGAAACUGGGUCUAAUACCGAAUAGGACCAUGGACUUCACGGUUUGUGGUGGAAAGCUUUUGCGGUGUGGGAUGGGCCCGCGGCCUAUCAGCUUGUUGGUGGGGUAAUGGCCUACCAAGGCGACGACGGGUAGCCGGCCUGAGAGGGUGACCGGCCACACUGGGACUGAGAUACGGCCCAGACUCCUACGGGAGGCAGCAGUGGGGAAUAUUGCACAAUGGGCGCAAGCCUGAUGCAGCGACGCCGCGUGAGGGAUGACGGCCUUCGGGUUGUAAACCUCUUUCAGCACAGACGAAGCGCAAGUGACGGUAUGUGCAGAAGAAGGACCGGCCAACUACGUGCCAGCAGCCGCGGUAAUACGUAGGGUCCGAGCGUUGUCCGGAAUUACUGGGCGUAAAGAGCUCGUAGGUGGUUUGUCGCGUUGUCCGUGAAAACUCACAGCUCAACUGUGGGCGUGCGGGCGAUACGGGCAGACUGGAGUACUGCAGGGGAGACUGGAAUUCCUGGUGUAGCGGUGGAAUGCGCAGAUAUCAGGAGGAACACCGGUGGCGAAGGCGGGUCUCUGGGCAGUAACUGACGCUGAGGAGCGAAAGCGUGGGGAGCGAACAGGAUUAGAUACCCUGGUAGUCCACGCCGUAAACGGUGGGUACUAGGUGUGGGUUUCCUUCCUUGGGAUCCGUGCCGUAGCUAACGCAUUAAGUACCCCGCCUGGGGAGUACGGCCGCAAGGCUAAAACUCAAAGAAAUUGACGGGGGCCGGCACAAGCGGCGGAGCAUGUGGAUUAAUUCGAUGCAACGCGAAGAAC
rnacentral:rRNA from 1 species